UACGAAGGGGGCUAGCGUUGUUCGGAAUUACUGGGCGUAAAGCGUGCGCAGGCGGUUGGCCAAGUCAGCUGUGAAAGCCCCGGGCUUAACCUGGGAAUGGCGGUUGAAACUAGUCGACUAGAAUCUGGCAGAGGGGGGUGGAAUUCCACGUGUAGCAGUGAAAUGCGUAGAGAUGUGGAGGAACGCCGAUGGCGAAGGCAGCCCCCUGGGCUGAGAUUGACGCUCAGGCACGAAAGCGUGGGGAGCAAACAGG
rnacentral:rRNA from 1 species